CCUUAUGGAUGAGCAAAGAGGUUGGUUUCUUGAGACGGAAACUACUCCUGGUGAAGAUGCUGUGUA
rnacentral:pre_miRNA from 1 species